rnacentral:rRNA from 1 species
UACGUAGGGUCCGAGAGUUGUCCGGAAUUACUGGGCGUAAAGCGCGCGCAGGCGGCUUCCCAAGCGCCACGUGAAAGCCCCGGGCUCAACCCGGGAGGGUCGCGGCGAACUGGGAGGCUUGAGGCCGGUAGAGGUGGGUGGAACUCCUGGUGGAGUGGUGAAAUGCGUAGAGAUCAGGAAGAACACCCGUGGCGAAGGCGGCCCACUGGGCCGGUGCUGACGCUGAGGCGCGAAGGCGUGGGGAGCGAACGGG